UGAACCAUUCCCCUUCAUACUAUUCAUCCCAAAAUUCUCAUUUCUUGACCAAAUCAUCUCAUCCAAAGCUAGUUGAAUCCUUGGAACUUGCAAGAGUAACAUCACUAAGGAAACGAGUAACGGUGUUUAAUUGCGCGUUCGAUUGUGUGAUUGGAAACUUUUGCCGAGACGAUGGAGCGCCAUCUGAGACCGUAGGCCGUGUGGACGGCGAGGACUUC